CGGGACACGCCCACUUUAGCAAAGGUUUCCCCGGAAGCCUCCCAAAGGCUCCUGGAGGACGUCGGUUGCUGCUGUCUCCUCGCAGCACCGAGGUUUGGGCCUUAUUUUAGUUUUAAGCGCGGGCACCUGAGCCGGCUGGGGCGCUGAGGAACGCCUGCGGGAGGAGCUGGGGAGUCCCUUGGAGUUCGCGAGGGCCGAUCUGGAGCUACGCCGGGAGGGGCUUGGGCUGGACCUACGGGGGUCAGGGAGCGGAGGGCGCGUCGGAAGGGUUGUGGAAGGCAAGAAUGGAUGGGACGCCGCGACGGACGUCCCCUGACCCAUGAGUGUGGAGCACCCACUACGUGUUGGGCCCUGUCAGGCUCUGCCCUCGUGGACCUUCCAUUCUAGUGGGACGCAGCCAGACGAGGUGAAGGGACUGAGGCACAGAGAGGUCAUGUGCUCAAGGCUGACGGUACAGGGAGAUGCUGGGGCCCCGAGCUCCCUCCUUCUUCGUCACCGCAUCCACAGCUCCGAUGGUUUUAACUACCAGUGAAGGGCCCAUGGCCUGCACCAGGCACUGAGAGUGUCCUUUUUAUUUUUAGCAUAAGUAAAAACACUGCAUUUCAUCAUAUUUUGCAUUUAA